rnacentral:rRNA from 1 species
GAUGAACGCUGGCGGCGUGCCUAAUACAUGCAAGUCGAGCGAACUGAUUAGAAGCUUGCUUCUAUGACGUUAGCGGCGGACGGGUGAGUAACACGUGGGCAACCUGCCUGUAAGACUGGGAUAACUUCGGGAAACCGAAGCUAAUACCGGAUAGGAUCUUCUCCUUCAUGGGAGAUGAUUGAAAGAUGGUUUCGGCUAUCACUUACAGAUGGGCCCGCGGUGCAUUAGCUAGUUGGUGAGGUAACGGCUCACCAAGGCAACGAUGCAUAGCCGACCUGAGAGGGUGAUCGGCCACACUGGGACUGAGACACGGCCCAGACUCCUACGGGAGGCAGCAGUAGGGAAUCUUCCGCAAUGGACGAAAGUCUGACGGAGCAACGCCGCGUUAGUGAUGAAGGCUUUCGGGUCGUAAAACUCUGUUGUUAGCGAAGAACAAGUACGAGAGUAACUGCUCGUACCUUGACGGUACCUAACCAGAAAGCCACGGCUAACUACGUGCCAGCCGCCGCUGUAAAAC